rnacentral:rRNA from 1 species
GGUGCCAUGCCGCCGCGGUAAUACCGGCAGCUCAAGUGAUGGCCACUCUUAUUGGGCCUAAAGCGUCCGUAGCUGGCCGCGCGAGUCCGUCGGGAAAUCCACCCGCCCAACGGGUGGGCGUCCGGUAGAAACUGGUCGGCUUGGAACCGGAAGGCUCAGAGAGUACGUCCGGGGUAGGAGUGAAAUCCCGUAAUCCCGGACGGACUACCGAUGGCGAAAGCACUCUGAGAAGACGGCUUCGACAGUGAGGGACGAAAGCUCGGGUCUCAAACCGGAUUAGAUACCCUUGUAGUCC